rnacentral:rRNA from 1 species
CAGUCGCCGCGGGAACACGAAGGGUGCAAGCGUUACUCGGAAUUACUGGGCGUAAAGCGUGAGUAGGUGGUUGUUUAAGUCUGUCGUGAAAGCCCUGGGCUCAACCUGGGAAUUGCGAUGGAUACUGGGCGACUAGAGUGCGGUAGAGGAUAGUGGAAUUUCCGGUGUAGCAGUGAAAUGCGUAGAGAUCGGAAGGAACAUCUGUGGCGAAGGCGACUAUCUGGGCCAACACUGACACUGAGACACGAAAGCGUGGGGAGCAAACAGGAUUAGAUACCCCGGUAGUCCCUGUCUCUUAUAA